rnacentral:lncRNA from 1 species
GUCCAAGCAUGACUCCCUGCCCUUUUACACAAACUCCAGAUGUCUGACUCCCUGAACCUGACCGUCCUAAUUAGCAGAGCCCUAAUCUUUCCUUGACCAUCUCCUGUUCAGAAGUGGAGAAGUUAUCCAUCAACAGUCCCUGCCUGGAAAGAGCUUGGCUUCUGCCCUCCACAUGGCAUGCGGAUUUCCUUUUAUCUAAGAGAAAACCUAGUCACCAUCAUGGGUAUCACCGACCCAACUCUGGACAACAUGCUGCAUCCAUGAACUGUUCACAGAACUCUGGAAAAACCUUCUUUCAUUAAGCAAACAUCUUAAUAAAACGACCUGCCCUCUCCUGCUGUGCAUGUGCAUUGCACACACAGUGGUAAGGCUAAUUGUGCUUAUCCUGACAUGAAUGUCCACAGAGGACUCUGGGCACAAUUCUACCACACUAGCAGCAGAUGUGAGUCACUGGAAUAAGUUCUUCAUCAGUAAAGGUGCUGAAAUGUGGAGUCCAAGAGAGCCCCGGCUCUGCACAGAGAAGACAUCUGGGAGAUGCUAAUUGAAGACUGAAGAAAAAUGAGAGCAAUUCCAUGGUCUCUGAUCUAAAUUAUACAUUCACCCUCUCCUGGCUCUUUGAGACACAUAAUAGAUGAAUAAAAAGAGCAAAACUUUGGAGCAUUAAUUCUUAAAACGCAGGCAGGGGAUUCUGCAUCCAGGUCCUCCUGUUUGUCUCUGACUUCCUCUUGACGGAUAGAAAUCUCAACUCUACAGGAACAAUUAAGAGGAUAAAUCAGAAAUAUAUUCUCAGCAUUUACAAAGCAUAUUCAUUUCUAAGAUUCAGUCAAACCCAGAAUUGGCAGUUCGGGAAGGCAAGAAAUAAUUCCCACCCUAGGAGAACCUGUGCUUGCUUGGAAUAGACAGGCAGCAGUGUAGCAUAAUAAUUAAGUAUUAUUACAACAAAGUUAAUAAAGAUUUAGUUCUGUAACAACAUACUACAAA